rnacentral:rRNA from 1 species
CGGGACUGAUUAUUUUGUGACUGAGUGGCGGACGGGUGAGUAACGCGUGGGUAACCUGCCUUGUACAGGGGGAUAACAGUUGGAAACGGCUGCUAAUACCGCAUAAGCGCACAGCAUCGCAUGAUGCUGUGUGAAAAACUCCGGUGGUAUAAGAUGGACCCGCGUUGGAUUAGCUAGUUGGUGAGGUAACGGCCCACCAAGGCGACGAUCCAUAGCCGACCUGAGAGGGUGACCGGCCACAUUGGGACUGAGACA